UGAUCCUGGCUCAGGACGAACGCUGGCGGCGUGCUUAACACAUGCAAGUCGAACGAUGAAGCCUAGCUUGCUAGGUGGAAGAGUGGCGAACGGGUGAGUAACACGUGAGCAACCUGCCCUUCACUCUGGGAUAAGCACUGGAAACGGUGUCUAAUACUGGAUAUGUCCCAUCACCGCAUGGUGUGUGGGUGGAAAGAUUUAUCGGUGAAGGAUGGGCUCGCGGCCUAUCAGCUUGUUGGUGAGGUAGUGGCUCACCAAGGCGACGACGGGUAGCCGGCCUGAGAGGGUGACCGGCCACACUGGGACUGAGACACGGCCCAGACUCCUACGGGAGGCAGCAGUGGGGAAUAUUGCACAAUGGGCGCAAGCCUGAUGCAGCAACGCCGCGUGAGGGAUGACGGCCUUCGGGUUGUAAACCUCUUUUAGUAGGGAAGAAGCGCAAGUGACGGUACCUGCAGAAAAAGCACCGGCUAACUACGUGCCAGCAGCCGCGGUAAUACGUAGGGUGCAAGCGUUGUCCGGAAUUAUUGGGCGUAAAGAGCUCGUAGGCGGCUUGUCGCGUCUGCUGUGAAAACCCGAGGCUCAACCUCGGGCCUGCAGUGGGUACGGGCAGGCUAGAGUGCGGUAGGGGAGAUUGGAAUUCCUGGUGUAGCGGUGGAAUGCGCAGAUAUCAGGAGGAACACCGAUGGCGAAGGCAGAUCUCUGGGCCGUAACUGACGCUGAGGAGCGAAAGCAUGGGGAGCGAACAGGAUUAGAUACCCUGGUAGUCCAUGCCGUAAACGUUGGGAACUAGAUGUAGGGCCUGUUCCACGGGUUCUGUGUCGUAGCUAACGCAUUAAGUUCCCCGCCUGGGGAGUACGGCCGCAAGGCUAAAACUCAAAGGAAUUGACGGGGGCCCGCACAAGCGGCGGAGCAUGCGGAUUAAUUCGAUGCAACGCGAAGAACCUUACCAAGGCUUGACAUAUACGAGAACGGGCGAGAGAUCGUCAACUCUUUGGACACUCGUAAACAGGUGGUGCAUGGUUGUCGUCAGCUCGUGUCGUGAGAUGUUCGGUUAAGUCCGGCAACGAGCGCAACCCUCGUCCUAUGUUGCCAGCACGUUAUGGUGGGAACUCAUGGGAUACUGCCGUGGUCAACACGGAGGAAGGUGGGGAUGACGUCAAAUCAUCAUGCCCCUUAUGUCUUGGGCUUCACGCAUGCUACAAUGGCCGAUACAAAGGGCUGCGAUACCGCGAGGUGGAGCGAAUCCCAAAAAGUCGGUCUCAGUUCGGAUUGGGGUCUGCAACUCGACCCCAUGAAGUCGGAGUCGCUAGUAAUCGCAGAUCAGCAACGCUGCGGUGAAUACGUUCCCGGGCCUUGUACACACCGCCCGUCAAGUCAUGAAAGUCGGUAACACCCGAAGCCGGUGGCCUAACCCUUGUGGAGGGAGCCGUCGAAGGUGGGACUGGUGAUUAGGACUAAGUCGUAACAAGGUAGCCGUACCGGAAGGUGCGGCUGGAUCACCUCCUUUUCUA
rnacentral:rRNA from 1 species